GGUAAACGCUGGCGGCGUGCCUAAAACAUGCAAGUCGAACGGGCAGUCUUCGGAUUGUCAGUGGCAGACGGCUGAGUAACGCGUGGGUGACGUACCUAUCGGUGGGGAAUAACUGCCCGAAAGGGUGGCUAAUACCGCAUACGUCCACUGCUUCGUGGCAGUGGGGAAAACCGCAAGGUGCCGAUGGAGCGGCCCGCGUUCGAUUAGCUGGUUGGUGGGGUAACGGCCUACCAAGGCGACGAUCGAUAGCCGGCCUCAGAGGAUGAUCAGCCAGACUGGGACUGAGACACGGCCCAGACUCCUACGGGAGGCAGCAGUGGGGAAUUUUGGACAAUGGGGGCAACCCUGAUCCAGCCAUUCCGCGUGAGUGAAGAAGGCC
rnacentral:rRNA from 1 species